rnacentral:rRNA from 1 species
GGUUACUGCUAUCGGUGUUCGCCUAAGCCAUGCGAGUCAUAUGUUCGUAAGAACAUGGCGUACUGCUCAAUAACACGUGGAUAACCUGCCCUUGGGUCCGGCAUAACCCCGGGAAACUGGGGAUAAUUCCGGAUAACGCACAUAUGCUGGAAUGCUUUAUGCGUAAAAUGGAUUCGUCUGCCCAAGGAUGGGUCUGCGGCCUAUCAGGUAGUAGUGGGUGUAAUGUACCUACUAGCCUACGACGGGUACGGGUUGUGAGAGCAAGAGCCCGGAGAUGGAUUCUGAGACAUGAAUCCAGGCCCUACGGGGCGCAGCAGGCGCGAAAACUUUACAAUGCGGGAAACCGUGAUAAGGGGACACCGAGUGCCAGCAUCCUAUGCUGGCUGUCCGGGUGUGUAAAAUACACCUGUUAGCAAGGGCCGGGCAAGACCGGUGCCAGCCGCCGCGGUAACACUGGCGGCCCGAGUGGUGAUCGUGAUUAUUGGGUCUAAAGGGUCCGUAGCCGGUUUGGUCAGUCCUCCGGGAAAUCUGACAGCUUAACUGUUAGGCUUUCGGAGGAUACUGCCAGACUUGGAACCGGGAGAGGUAAGAGGUACUACAGGGGUAGGAGUGAAAUCUUGUAAUCCCAGUGGGUCCACCUGUGGCGAAGGCGUCUUACCAGAACGGGUUCGACGGUGAGGGACGAAAGCUGGGGGCACGAACCGGAUUAGAUACCCGGGUAGUCCCAGCCGUAAACGAUGCUCGCUAGGUGUCAGGCAUGGCGCGACCGUGUCUGGUGCCGCAGGGAAGCCGUGAAGCGAGCCACCUGGGAAGUACGGCCGCAAGGCUGAAACUUAA